UACGGGGGGGGCAAGCGUUGUUCGGAAUUACUGGGCGUAAAGGGCGCGUAGGCGGUCUGCUAAGUUGGAUGUGAAAACUCUGGGCUUAACCCAGAGCCUGCAUUCAAUACUGACAGGCUAGAGUUCUGGAGGGGAUAGCGGAAUUCCUGGUGUAGCGGUGAAAUGCGUAGAUAUCAGGAGGAACACCGGUGGCGAAGGCGGCUAUCUGGACAGAGUCUGACGCUGAGGCGCGAAAGCGUGGGAGCAAACAGG
rnacentral:rRNA from 1 species